GCAAAUAUAUCAGCAUAUGAUAAAGAAUCAAGGCGGUGAAAAAAUAUAUAAGACUCCCAGGGGGAGGCUAGAGCCUCGAAGCAUAUUACAUCCAGACCUAAUGAAAUGGAGCUAAGAACCAAGAUUGAAAUUGCAAAAUGGGUAUGAAUCUCACACAAUGAUAACAUGAUCCAAACUAAAAACCCCUUCUAACACCCAAAUACAAAGCAUUGUACUGUACUAAGUUUCAGCAAGGACAUGGUAGCAUAAAUAUUUCCAAUAUACAACUGUCCAAAUCUUAAAUGUUGAAGCAGAUGGUGCUCAAAGCAACACAACCAAAACUCCUAGCUUGCCAGUGAACAGCAAGAAUCACCAUCUCAUCAACCAUGAGAAAAGAGAAGACCAGUGCUAUACAUUAAUAACAACUGAUAGAAACCAUAUUUAACCCGUUGAAAGACAAUGACUAGACUCUUCCAUAUUUCUUUUGGCAUGCUGUUUUUGAAUAUCUUGUUGCAACUGCAAAAUAUGUGGGGCAAAAGACCAAGGAGUUGUGUAAAUUUCAGAAGUUGAAAAAAUCCCAUGAGUGCAAUGAAAGACAUAGCGGUUGUAUCAAAUGAAAUUCAACUAGUGACAAAGUCACAUGUUGCCUCAGAGACAUGUAACAUGUAAUUUGUGGCGCAUUAGAGUUGAGAAUCAAAAAAGCAAAAUUGCAAAAUGAAAAUGAAUCACACAAGAAGUAAAAAUAAGGAGAUGCACACUACGGAUCAACUCGAAUACCCAAAUAGAGACUCCAGCAGCAAACUAAAUCAGUGCUAUUCUACAGAAACAUGAAUUUAUUUCUAAAACAAAGCAUGCGAAAAGCAGCAAAACAGUGGAAGCUCACUGCUUAGCACCAUUGACCAGCAAGAACAACAGCUCUAAGGAGAUUUUGGGAUAAAAAAUAAUAGCAACAUUUUCUUGAAACAUAAUCAAUCCAUCACCUUUCCAUAUUUCUCUAUUUUCUUCAACAACACUACAAGCAAUGCUUAAAGGAAACGAACAUUACUUCCAGACUACAUGUUCUCAUAUUCAACAACUAAAUAACUAUAAGAAAUUAUAAGAGAAAAACA